CCAGCAGCUAUUUUAGCAAUAUAACUUUGCUCUGUGCUUCUCAGAGCAUGCACUUCGCAGUCUUUUGAUUGAGACCACAAUAAAUAGCUUAUAGGCACAACUGAUAUUGCUUGGCCAUAGGAGAAUCAGAGAUGAGGAGCUGCAUCGGACACACGAAUGUAUAGCCUAAUAAGCAACGCAUUCUGAAACACAGAGAAAUAUUGAAAUGUCAUCAACUAGAAAUUACAUUACCCUCCCCUGGACUACUUAAAAACAAUUAUAAUAAUACCAAACCCUCCCAUUGACUGAUAUUGAAAAAGCAUGAUCCUCCUCCAUUUUCCUCCCGGUAACAGUUCUGUAAAUAUCGAUCCGCCCCUUACAUUGCAAUGAGCCAUGCCUGUUCCCGAAUCGGAUGUUGACGAUUUUAUCAUUACGUGACUGCUGCAUGAUGACAACAUCAACUAGCGUCUCAAGCUAAACGAUACAAGUUCCACAUUUGAAGAUGCUAAUUAAGAAUCGCAUUCCUACCUAGCUAACAUCAAAAGUGCUAUGGACAUAUGGCAUACGACUACUUCGCGGUGAAAUAGUCGAAGGAAAACUUCACAGGCCAAACUUCAAGAAAAAGGAAAGAACAGCGACCCACAUGACAAUCAUUGUCCAAUGGGAACUCAUAUCUCUCUUUGAGGUUUCCCCUAGUUACCAUAGUCACAAAGUCAAAAUGGGCUAUUUGGUAACAUUCAUAUAAACUAAAAUAUACUUUGUGGCUGUGGUAACUAGUGACGAGCUGUAAUCAUUAGUACAAACAGUCGCAAAACGUUCCUGAAAUGAGAGUUUCUAUUGGACAAAUUCAGAGCUGCUGACUCUCCCGGUCCCACCACCACUCCCAGCUCCACCUUACAACACCCUAAAUACUCCACUCCCUGCCCUCUUAACGAUGGAGCAGCAACAUAUGCGCUGCGUGACCUGCCUGAGUCAGAGGUGCAUGACCAGGCCAGAACCCGGUAUCUCCUGUCACCUGCCCCCUAGUCUGUGGGGCCAUUUUCCACUCCUACAAAGGGCCGAGCACCUCCUCCUCUGUCCCCUGGAGAGAAUGCCCUGCCUGAACAGGGGUUUUGGCUGCCCUGACACUAGUGCAGACCUGGAUGCCUGCACACCAUGGAGUGGAACAGGUGGGCUAUCAGCUGCCUGGAUUACACAUCAUACGAGAGCUUGAGCUGGGGGGUGGAGGAGACAGAGCCGCUGGACAUGGUGCUGGCCCUGCAGGACCAUUACACAAGUCCCUCAAGGUGGUCCCAAUGGCGUCCACGGUCGAGAGAAAGCCACCUGUUUUCGCCGUAGAGAGCGCGAGUGAGAGCAAGGACACUGCGUUGACAACGCAUUCGCCACCCUUGAUGAAACAGUCAUGACUACCAUUGACGACACAAUCACCACUACCAUUGACGACGCAGUCACCACUACCAUUGACAACGCAGUCACCACUACCAUUGACAACGCAGUCACCACUACCAUUGACGACGCAGUCACCACCACCACCAUUGUCGACGCAGUCACCACCACCACCAUUGACGACGCAGUCACCACCACCACCAUUGACGACGCAGUCACCAUCACCACCAUUGACGACGCAGUCACCACCACCACCAUUGACGACGCAGUCACCACCACCACCAUUGACGACGCAGUCACCUCCACCACCAUUGACGACGCAGUCACCACCAUCACCAUUGACGACACAGUCACCACCACCACCAUUGACGACACAGUCACCACCACCACCAUUGACGACACAGUCACCACCAUUGAGGACACAGUCACCACCACCACCACCACUGACGACACAGUCACCACCACCACCACCAUUGACGACACAGUCACCACCACCACCACCAUUGACGACACAGUCACCACCACCACCAUUGACGACACAGUCACCACCACCACCAUUGACGACACAGUCACCACCACCACCAUUGACGACACAGUCACCACCACCACCAAUGACGACACAGUCACCACAACCACCAUUGACGACACAGUCACCACAACCACCAUUGACGACACAGUCACCACCACCCCCAUUGACGACACAGUCACCACCACCAUUGACGACACAGUCACCACCACCAUUGACGACACAGUCAUCACCAACAUUGACGUCCCAGUCACCGCCACUGAGCUUAGCAAAGGAUAAAAUUGCUAACGGAAGAAAUGGUUUCAACGAGGACUGGUAUAGCAAGCUGUGCUAGUAUUUCAUCCCUCCACAAGACAUAGUCCCAACACAAAUCUAAGGUUUCUAAAUAAGCCGGCUGGUCGUUCAUUCUAUCUGUUCGGUUGCCAGAGACGCAGGUGUGGAGAUUCAGCACUGCCUUUAGCCCCGUUAGUGAGUGGCGGUUGGCGAAGUCUCCAGUAUGUCUGACCUUCUGAGGAAGUUCCACUACAACACAGUUGAGCACAAGAUGGAGGGAGUUCCACUGCCGUCCAUGUGCACAGCCAGAGACAUAUCCCUCUGUCUUGAAACUCUAGGUGCAACACACAACCUUAGUGUAGCUAACAGAGGUUAGGUACUGGUGUCUAAUUUGAUUCAGGUUUUGAUGUUACAUAAAAAAAAUAUAUUGGAAAAGACUGUCCCGUGUUAUAUUGAGGUUGAAGUGUAAAGAGCCUUUUAUGUAUGACCGCCUUGACACAGUUCCAGUGGCGGUAAAAUUGGACCUUUUAUUUAACUAGGCAAGUCCGUUAAGAACAAAUUCUUAUUUUCAAGGACGGCCUAGGAACAGUGGGUUAACUGCCUUGUACAGGGGCAGAACGACAGAUUUUUACCUUGUCAGCUCGGGGAUUCGAGCUUGCAACCUUUCAGUUACUAGUUUAACGCUCUAACCACUAGGCGACCUGCCGUGUCAAUCGAAGGUACUGUUUAACAAUUUACCUCGCAUGGUUUGGUGUUUAAAUUGUGCCCCUAUUUUUGUAACGUGUUUGUCUUGGAGAGAGAAACAUGCAAAAGUUUGUUUUAUUUCCCACUUUUCUGUGAGAUACUGACUACAGAGAAAGAAAUACAUAUUUUCUGUUUGUCUUGUUUGUUACUCAUAGCCAUGGGAUGAGCAAGUUGUUUGCCAUAUCACACCAUUUUUAUGCUAGCACUUUAAUGAAUUUUGCACUCUUAAACCCAUUUUCAAUUUACUGAAAUCAUCCUCCAUGAAAUGAAUCUGAAGGGCAAGUCUGCUCUCUGUGUGGGUUGGACCAGAAAGGGACCACAACACGCAAACUAAAACAAAGGGAGAGAAGACACACAAGGUCCCAAUGGACAUUUCCCAACGAUGCAUGUGAUUCUGUUGCCAUUUAAUACAAAUAGUCUUUAAUACCACCUUUCAUGAUUUUCCUUGUGCUCUUUGUAUUCUGUUUUUUUUUAUGGUUGUUUUUCUAUCAUCACCGUGAAGCUUCAGUGAAUCAGACAAGCUGUUUGAGGUGAUUUAUUUUAUAAUUGACAGUACAUAUAAAGAUGCUUAAUCAGGAGACAAAUGUUAGUUCAGUCAUUAACAUGGCCAAUGAGACAAGAUGACUGUUGCCAGCAGCAUACCAACCUGCAUCCCACUGCUGUCUUGCCUCUGAAGGUCAGCAGGAUUGAUCCUGGUUGGUCCCUGGAUGGGAGACCAGAUGCUUCUGGAAGUGGUGUUGGAGAACCAGUAGGAGGCACUCUUUGCUCUGGUAUAAAAACAAAAUCCCCUGGGACAUUGCCUUGUUGUUGGGUGCUGUCUUUUGAAUGGGUGUCCUGACUGUGGUCAUUAAACAUCACAUGACACUUAUUGUUAUAGUAGGGGUGUUAACCCUGCUGUCCUGGCUAAAUUCCAAGUCUGGCCCUCAUACCAUCAUGGCCACCUAAUCAUCCCCAGCCUCCAGUUGGCACAUUCUUCCCAGUAUCUGUUCUGCAGGUUGUUGAUGUAAAUUAGAAUCUGUUUUCAGUCAAUUUACUGGGUUAAAUAAAUACAAAAUGAUC